rnacentral:rRNA from 1 species
AGAGCGAACGCUGGCGGCAGGCCUAAAACAUGCAAGUCGAACGGACCCUUCGGGGUUAGUGGCGGACGGGUGAGUAACACGUGGGAACGUGCCUUUUGGUUCAGAACAACUCAGGGAAACUUGAGCUAAUACUGAAUAAGCCCUACGGGGGAAAGAUUUAUCGCCAUUAGAGCGGCCCGCGUUGGAUUAGCUAGUUGGUGAGGUAAAGGCUCACCAAGGCUACGAUCCAUAGCUGGUCUGAGAGGAUGAUCAGCCACACUGGGACUGAGACACGGCCCAGACUCCUACGGGAGGCAGCAGUUAGGAAUCUUGCGCAAUGGGCGAAAGCCUGACGCAGCCAUGCCGCGUGAAUGAUGAAGGUCUUAGGAUUGUAAAAUUCUUUCAGCGGGGAAGAUAAUGACUGUACCGCAGAAGAAGCUCCGGCUAACUCGCGCCAGCAGCCG